rnacentral:rRNA from 1 species
CCUACGGGAGGCAGCAGUGGGGAAUAUUGCACAAUGGGGGGAACCCUGAUGCAGCAACGCCGCGUGAAGGAAGACGGUUUUCGGAUUGUAAACUUCUAUCAAUAGGGAAGAAAGAAAUGACGGUACCUAAAUAAGAAGCCCCGGCUAACUACGUGCCAGCAGCCGCGGUAAUACGUAGGGGGCAAGCGUUAUCCGGAUUUACUGGGUGUAAAGGGAGCGUAGACGGCAGCACAAGUCUGGAGUGAAAUGCCGGGGCUUAACCCCGGAACUGCUUUGGAAACUGUGCAGCUAGAGUGCAGUAGAGGGAAGUGGAAUUCCUAGUGUAGCGGUGAAAUGCGUAGAGAUUAGGAGGAACACCAGUGGCGAAGGCGGCUUACUGGACUGUAACUGACGUUGAGGCUCGAAAGCGUGGGGAGCAAACAGGAUUAGAUACCCUUGUAGUC